GAGGGAAACAGCUCAGUGGUAGAGCACAUGCUUAGCAAGCAUGAGGUCCUGGGUUUAAUCCCCAGUACCUCA
rnacentral:tRNA from 1 species